GGAAACACAACAUACCCAAACGUAUGGGACAUGAGACGUUAGUUCUGAUAGGCAAGUUCAUAGCACAAAGUGCCUCCAUUAAAAACAAACAAAAACAAAAGCAAGUUGGAGAGAUCCCGUACUAGUAACCAUAGGAUCACACCUGAAAGCUCUAGAACAAAGAGAAGAAAUCACACCGGGAAGGAGCAGAUGGCAGGGAAUCAUCAGACUCAGGGCUGAAGUCAGUGAAGUAGAAAUGGACAAACAGCAAACAGAAUGGAAGGAAUCAGUGGGCCGGUGUUGGUUCUCUGAGACGCCUGGUAAGCUUUACAAACCCCUAUCCAAACUGAAGUGCGGAGAGAGAAUAUCCAAACUAAGAAAGUUAGAAAUGAGAAGGGGGAACAUAACAAGAGUCACCGAGGCAAUCCAGAGAAUCAGUCAUAAAAACAAAUUCUAAAAACCUGAACUCCAUUAUACAUAAAAAUCUAAAAGGAACGUGUGAUUUUUCUGGAUACAUACCACUUUCAAAAUUUAAAUAAAGAUCAGAUAAAGCAAUUUAGACUACUGUAAUCUCUAGUGAAAUAGAAGCAGUUAUUGAAGUCCCCAAACCAAAAAAAACAAAAAAAAAAAC
rnacentral:lncRNA from 1 species